rnacentral:rRNA from 1 species
UACGGAGGAUCCAAGCGUUAUCCGGAAUCAUUGGGUUUAAAGGGUCCGUAGGCGGUUUUGUAAGUCAGUGGUGAAAGCCCAUCGCUCAACGGUGGAACGGCCAUUGAUACUGCAAGACUUGAAUUAUUGGGAAGUAACUAGAAUAUGUAGUGUAGCGGUGAAAUGCUUAGAGAUUACAUGGAAUACCAAUUGCGAAGGCAGGUUACUACCAAUAUAUUGACGCUGAUGGACGAAAGCGUGGGGAGCGAACAGGAUUAG